rnacentral:rRNA from 1 species
GAUGAACGCUGGCGGCGUGCCUAAUACAUGCAAGUCGAGCGAACAGACGAGGAGCUUGCUCCUUCGACGUUAGCGGCGGACGGGUGAGUAACACGUAGGUAACCUACCUAUAAGACUGGGAUAACUUCGGGAAACCGGAGCUAAUACCGGAUAAUAUUUCGAACCGCAUGGUUCGAUAGUGAAAGAUGGCUUUGCUAUCACUUAUAGAUGGACCUGCGCCGUAUUAGCUAGUUGGUAAGGUAACGGCUUACCAAGGCAACGAUACGUAGCCGACCUGAGAGGGUGAUCGGCCACACUGGAACUGAGACACGGUCCAGACUCCUACGGGAGGCAGCAGUAGGGAAUCUUCCGCAAUGGGCGAAAGCCUGACGGAGCAACGCCGCGUGAGUGAUGAAGGUCUUCGGAUCGUAAAACUCUGUUAUUAGGGAAGAACAAACGUGUAAGUAACUGUGCACGUCGUGACGGUACCUAAUCAGAAAGCCACGGCUAACUACGUG